rnacentral:rRNA from 1 species
CAGGCGUAGCAAUACGUGCUGACGAGCGGCGAACGGGUGCGUAAUACAUGGGAAUCUGCCCUUUGGUGGGGAAUAACCCGGCGAAAGCCGGGCUAAUGCCGCAUAAGAUCUUCGGAUGAAAGCGGGGGAUCGUAAGACCUCGCGCCGAUGGAUGAGCCCAUGUCGGAUUAGCUAGUUGGUGAGGUAACGGCUCACCAAGGCGACGAUCCGUAGCUGGUCUGAGAGGACGGCCAGCCACACUGGGACUGAGACACGGCCCAGACUCCUACGGGAGGCAGCAGUGGGGAAUAUUGGACAAUGGGGGCAACCCUGAUCCAGCAAUGCCGCGUGCGUGAAGAAGGCCUGCGGG